GACCACACUUUAUAUCAUGUUGGACCACCUUGGAAUUUGUAGAUACUUUUAUCGUCGAAGGAUGUACUCACAGAACAAAAUGAGUGGAUUGUGCUGUUCUACUCUUCUGUCCAUAGCAGUGGGAUAUGUUUUCUGCACUGCGCGGCUACCCUCUAAUGUCGCGAUGGCUGACGAAGAGAUCUAGGUUCAUGGCUCGCUAGGUUCAGCUGGUUCCACUAACAGCCAUCUCCGAGCACUUGCAUAGAUAUGUGUGUCACAACAUGCAAGCAAAUCAAAUGAAGGAGUGUGGACAAAGUUAUAUAUCGAGCAAAUCAGAUGAAGGCGUGUGGACAAAGUUAUAUAUCCAAUAGUCAAUCAUGUAGUUUACUAUUGUGCAGUAUGAAAAACAGUGUACAUAAGUUAUCUGGGACUAAUACUAUGGCCUGCUUUUGGUUUCUAUCAUACCAAACCUUGCUUAGGUAUUUCAUGUCACAUUGCAUAACAAAUGCGCCGAUGCAUGUAGAUAUGGCCAUUUUUGUAGAUAUUUUA